UAUUGCACAAUGGGGGAAACCCUGAUGCAGCGACGCCGCGUGAGUGAAGAAGUAUUUCGGUAUGUAAAGCUCUGUCAGCAGGGAAGAAAAUGUCGGUACCUGAUUAAGAAGCCCCGGCUAACUACGUGCCAGCAGCCGCGGUAAUAUGUAGGGGGGCAAGCGUUAUCCGGAUUUACUGGGUGUAAAGGGAGCGUAGACGGCAGCACAAGUCUGGAGUGAAAUACCGGGGCUAAACCCCGGAACUGCUUUGGAAACUGUGCAGCUAGAGUGCAGGAGAGGUAAGUGGAAUUCCUAGUGUAGCGGUGAAAUGCGUAGAUAUUAGGAGGAACACCAGUGGCGAAGGCGGCUUACUGGACUGUAACUGACGUUGAGGCUCGAAAGCGUGGGGAGCAAACAGG
rnacentral:rRNA from 1 species